UAAAAUCGGGUUUGAUGUACACCUUAUUUCUAAAGAAUCAUGUAAACGUUUGACAUAGCUUGUGUUAAUCAAAGUCUUUUACGAGCGUCUUGCUGAUUACGAUGUCGUAACCAGUUUCAGGAACUUGUUUAUCACACUUCGCGGGUUCUAUUAACAAGCAAGAAUGUCAUUUCAAGACAUUUAUAGACAGUAAUUUUAAAUCCAUUGAUGAUGAAAACAAGAAAGUUCUUGAAAUGAGAUGAGAGUUAAAACAUUGACAAACUCAAUACACCAGAUGCACAUUGAACUGUGGAGCAUGUGUCCAAAUAGUUGGGAUACGAGUCCAUGUCUAAUUGGUUGAAUAAAAUGAGGCUAGGAUUCCUACAGAAUUACAAGAGUUGGUAUAGAAUACUGACAAGUGAAGUGACAGCUAUAUUGGAGUUGCACAUAUCCUGUGGAAAGUUUGAUUUCUUGGCAGAGACCCAACCAUUUGUUAAGAGUUCAGGAGACUUCUACGAUGACUUUGCUGUUGUUCAUCAAAAAGUUCAGCUGACAAAUUUCCAUUCGGAACCUCAAAAACGUGUUUUCCCUUUAUACUAAGAUAGCAUUAUCAAGUUAGUUAUCAAACCCAUUGCAAUUUUUUAACUUCUGUUAAAUCAUAAUAUACAUUUAGCUUAAAACAUUUCUUAUUAUGACUUUUAUAAAUUUUAUACAAUAGAUAGAUGAUCACUUGAAGACCUGUGUAAAAUUUUAAGCAGUGUGGUUUUUCUGUCAUCCGUGUUUAUCCAACAUUAUUGUUGCUGUAUAACAAAUUUAAAUUAUAAUGUUAUAUUGAUUUGCUUUCAUACUAGAAUAAAUGUGCAAGUGUGAUUAACCACAGUAGGAUAACUUAUGCAGUUGUAUCUUUUUAUCCGUAUUUGAAAUCCAAAUACAUUGUAAACAAAA